GAUGAAGAACGUAGCGAAAUGCGAUAAGUAGUGUGAAUUGCAGAAUUCAGUGAAUCAUCGAGUCUUUGAACGCACAUUGCGCCCCCUGGUAUUCCGGGGGGCAUGCCUGUCCGAGCGUCAUUGCUGCCCUCAAGCACGGCUUGUGUGUUGGGCCUCCGCCCCCCGGCUCCCGGGGGGCGGGCCCGAAAGGCAGCGGCGGCACCGCGUCCGGUCCUCGAGCGUAUGGGGCUUCGUCACCCGCUCCGUAGGCCCGGCCGGCGCCCGCCGGCGACCCCCUUCAAUCUUUCCAGGUUGACCUCGGAUCAGGUAGGGAUACCCGCUGAACUUAAGCAUAUCAAUAAGCGGAGGA
rnacentral:misc_RNA from 1 species